UACGUAGGGGGCGAGCGUUGUCCGGAAUUAUUGGGCGUAAAGGGUGCGUAGGCGGUGCGGUAAGUCUUCUGUGAAAUCUACGGGCUUAACUCGUAGUCUGCAGGAGAAACGGCCGUGCUUGAGUAUGGGAGAGGUGAGUGGAAUUCCUGGUGUAGCGGUGAAAUGCGUAGAUAUCAGGAGGAACACCUGUGGCGAAAGCGGCUCACUGGACCAUAACUGACGCUGAGGCACGAAAGCUAGGGGAGCAAACAGG
rnacentral:rRNA from 1 species